GCCUGCGUGGCUCAGUGGUUGAGCGUCGGUCUAUCAAACAGGAGGUCAGGGUUCGAUUUCCGGUCAGGGCA
rnacentral:tRNA from 1 species